rnacentral:misc_RNA from 1 species
GAUAAGAACGCAGCGAAAUGCGAUAAGUAAUGUGAAUUGCAGAAUUCAGUGAAUCAUCGAAUCUUUGAACGCACAUUGCGCCCCUUGGUAUUCCGAGGGGCAUGCCUGUUCGAGCGUCAUUAUAACCCCUCAAGCUCAGCUUGGUGUUGGGGCCUGCUGCACUGGCAGCCCUUAAAAUCAGUGGCGGCGCCAUCUGGCUCUAAGCGUAGUAAUUCUUCUCGCUAUGGAGUCCUGGUGGAUGCUUGCCAUCAACCCCCAAUUUUUCUAUGGUUGAACUCGGAUCAGGUAGGGAUACCCGCUGAACUUAAGCAUAUCAAUAAGCGGAGGA